GGCGCACGGGUGAGUAACACGUAGGUAAUCUACCUUCGGAUGGGGAAUAACAACCGGAAACGGUUGCUAAUACCGCAUAAUGCAGCGGCACCUAAUGGUGACAGUUGUUAAAGCGGGGGAUCGCAAGACCUCGCGUCUGAAGAGGAGCCUGCGGCGGAUUAGCUAGUUGGUAAGGUAACGGCUUACCAAGGCGAUGAUCCGUAGCCGGCCUGAGAGGGCGGUCGGCCACACUGACACUGACAUACGGGUCAGACUCCUACGGGAGGCAGCAGUCGGGAAUUUUGGGCAAUGGGCGAAAGCCUGACCCAGCAACGCCGCGUGAAGGAUGAAAUCCUUCGGGAUGUAAACUUCGCAAGAACGGGAAGAAUAAGUAAGGGUUAAUAUCUCUUACGAUGACGGUACUGUUUGUAAGCUCCGGCUAACUCCGUGCCAGCAGCCGCGGUAAUACGGGGGGAGCAAGCGUUGUUCGGAUUUACUGGGCGUAAAGGGCGCGUAGGCGGCCACCGCAAGUCGACUGUGAAAUCUCCGGGCUUAACCCGGAAAGGUCAGCCGAUACUGCGGGGCUAGAGUGCAGAAGGGGCAACUGGAAUUCUCGGUGUAGCGGUGAAAUGCGUAGAUAUCGAGAGGAACACCUGCGGCGAAGGCGGGUUGCUGGGCUGACACUGACGCUGAGGCGCGAAAGCUAGGGGAGCGAACGGGAUUAGAUACCCCGGUAGUCC
rnacentral:rRNA from 1 species